rnacentral:rRNA from 1 species
UACAGAGGGUGCAAGCGUUGUUCGGAAUUACUGGGCGUAAAGCGCGUGUAGGCGGUUUGAUAAGUCAGAUGUGAAAUCCCUCAGCUUAACUGAGGAACUGCAUCUGAUACUGUUAAACUUGAGUGUCGGAGGGGAUGGCGGAAUUCCUGGUGUAGAGGUGAAAUUCGUAGAUAUCAGGAGGAACACCUGUGGCGAAGGCGGCCAUCUGGAAGACAACUGACGCUGAGACGCGAAAGCGUGGGGAGCAAACAGG